rnacentral:lncRNA from 1 species
UGGGGGUGUGGCUCUGGGAGUGUGGAAGGUGCUGAUAGCGAGGGAAUGAGAGAGAGGUGCUGAGAGCCACUGCACAAGUGUUUCUGAGGCCUAGCUGCCUGCUGCCUGCUGUGAAACCCUAUAAACCCUGCCCCGUGGGAAUUGAGCAGAAAGGACAGGGACCUCCUCCUCUCUGGAAGUCUCUGAAGAUGAUGGUGGACAAAGGUGAGGUUGUCAGCUGGCUCAGGAACCAGCGCACAUCCGAGUACCACCUUCCAAUGAAAACCCAGUGAAGCUCUCCAAAGGCCUUAGGGAUGAGAAGCUAUCAGAUGGAAGGGGCCUGGGUCUCUGAAGGACUAUGUGGUGCAGAGAGACCACAAAUCUACACUGCUUUGGCUUUAUUUGACACAUUAUUACUAUGGCAAGUCCCUGAGACUUGGGAUAGUGUGCUCUGAGUAUUAGCAUAUCUUGGCUAAAAUAAUUUCCCUUCCUGGUGGCCACUAAUAGUAGUAGUUGAUUCCUUUGGGUUUAUCCAAUAAAAU